UACGUAGGUGGCGAGCGUUGUCCGGAUUUACUGGGCGCAAAGGGAGCGUAGGCGGGCUUUUAAGUGAGAUGUGAAAUACUCGGGCUCAACUUGAGUGCUGCAUUUCAAACUGGAAGUCUAGAGUGCAGGAGAGGAGAAUGGAAUUCCUAGUGUAGCGGUGAAAUGCGUAGAGAUUAGGAAGAACACCAGUGGCGAAGGCGAUUCUCUGGACUGUAACUGACGCUGAGGCUCGAAAGCGUGGGGAGCAAACAGG
rnacentral:rRNA from 1 species